GUUGGUCAAUGAGAAGGUUAUCAUAUUCUUGAAACCAGGAAUCCUGAGAGGACCCACAGACCCUCUGAAAGAAAUGGACUGCUCCUGCAGGACCUGGAGAGACACCUCAAAUACUGUAGGUGCCCCAACUGCAGAAGUGGGAAAAAGAGAUUCUCCACAUACCUGCCCUGGGGAAACUGAGGGUCUGUUUGUGGGAGAAGUUUUUGAACUUACCUUUAGCUGAGUCAAUUUAGAGAGCAGACUGAAAUACAGGUGUAGAAGAAGCAGCGGGAAAGGCCCUAGGAGCUCUCUGGGUCCCUGAACAGCCAUUCCUGCCUGGCACCACAGAGGUCCUUCUGGAGGGCAGCCAGAGGCACAGAGGAAAAUGCCACUGAGAGAAGGAAGCCUCCAGCUGAACUUUGUAACAAUUUGAACUGGGUGAGAAGCCUCCUGGCCAGAACUUGGGGGAGAGCACAAAUCCAGUGUGCAGAUUCCACAGGUGUGGAAAGAACCAAGCCCUUACCUUUUGCAGCUGGGAGGUGGGUACUCUGGGGCAGGUUCUCAAGUAGAAUAAAGAAAUUCAGAGCCCAAAGAUAAGGUCUUCAAAUUAACUCAAUCCAACAAAGACAAAGAAAAAAUAAGAAAAGUGAAAAAAGCCUCCAAGAAGUCUGGGAUUAUGUUAAAUGACAAAACUGAAGAAUAAUCAGUGUUCCUGAGGAAGAAGAGAAUUUUAAAGCUUGGAAAACAUAUUUGGGGAAACAAUCAAGGAAAACUUCCCCAGCCUUGCUAGAGACCUAGACAUCCAAAUAACAAAAACACAAAGAACACCUGGAAAACUCACUGCAAAAAGAUCCUCACUUAGGCACGUUGUCAUCAGGUUACCCAAAGUCAAGAUGAAGGAAAGAAUCUUAAGAGCUGUGAGACAGAAGCACUAGGUAACAUGUAAGAUUAAUAGCAGAUUAAAAUAUCACAAUCCUAAACAUAUAUGCACCUAACACUGAAGCUCCCAAAUUUAUAAAACAAUUACUAAUAGACCUAAGAAAUGAGAUAGUCAGCAACACAAUAAUAGUGGGGGAUUCAGUACUUUACUGACAGCUGUAGACAGGUCAUCAAGACAGAAGGUCAACAAAGAAGCAAUGGAUUUAAACAAUAACUUGGAGCAAAUGGACUUACCAGAUAUAUACAGAACAUUUCACCCAACAACCACAGAAUACACAUUCUAUUCAACAUUGCAUGGAACUUUCUCCAAGAUAGACCAUAUGAUAGGCCAUAAAAUGAACCUCAGUAAAUUUAAGAAAAUUGAAAUUAUAUCAAGCAUUCUGUCAGACCACAGUGGAAUAAAGCUGGAAAUCAACUCCAAUUUCCAACUGGGAGGUUCCAAAAGGAACCUUCAAAACCAUGCAAAUAUAUGGAAAUUAAAUAGCCUGCUGAUGAAUGAGCAUUGGGUAAAAAAGGAAAUCAAGAUAAAAAUUUAAAAAAUUAUUGAAAGACAAUAAUGACACAAUCAAUUAAAAUCUCUGGGAUACAUCAAAGGUGGCACUAAGAGGAAAGUUUAUAGCCCUAAAAGCCUACCCAAAAAAGACUGAAAGAGCACAAACUGGAAUACUAAGGUCACACUUCAAGGAACUAGAGAAACAAGAACAAACCAAACCUAAACCCAGAAAAAGAAAGGAAAUAACCAAGAUCAGAGCAGAACUAUGUGACAUUGGAAAAAAAAAAUGCAAUGUGCCGUGCAGCCGUGGUCCCCAUGGAGCUGCUGUAGCAGACCCAGCAGUCAGGAGCGACCCGGAUGAGCUCAGCCCGGGCCCACCACUGGGCCUGGUUGCUGGUGAUCAGCUUCGUGUUUGGGUGCAGUAUUCUUAGGAUCCUCUUCCCGUCCUUCUCGUCUUUCAUGUCCAGGGUGCUGCACAAGGAUGCGGAGGAGUCACAGAUGAGAACGGCGAUCAAGGACAUGAAGCAGGAGCUGUCCAUGGUCAACAUGAUGGAUGAGUUUGCCAGAUAUGCCAGGCUGGAAAGAAAGAACAACAAGAUGACGGAUAAGCUCAAAACUCACAUGAAAGCUUGGACAGCUCUAUUAGGCAAGAUAAAAUAGGUGAUAAGUGUUGCUUUUUACAUUUUGCAGGCUGCCCUGAUGAUCUCACUCAUUUGGAGGUAUUAUUUUGUCCCUGUGGCUGUGGUGCCGAGUAAAUGGAUAACCCAGCUAGACUGCCUGGGUAGUCUUUCCUACUAGAGUAGCAGGUGGUGUUGGAAUUGCCUGCUGGAUUUUAGUCUGUAACAAAGUUGUGGCUGUUGUGCUUCAUCCAUUCAGCUGAACAGAAAGAUGGAUACAGCUACCAGAGUUGUAACAAUGAAUUUUCUCAUAUAGGUUAAAAAUCUGAUUUAUACUCUUUUAGGAAACAAAAGUGCACAGUUUAGAUUUUUUUGUUGUUGAGUAUGUUUGUUCUUGGACUUUAUGAGAGAGCUUAUAAGAAUCAUGAUUUUCUACGCUUGUCUUUGAGCCAAGAAAGUGCACUUUAUGACAUGUUGUAUCAAUGAACACUGUCCUAGGUCCAUACAAAAUGUGAAACAUUUAGGGGGCAUCUCCGUGCUGUCACUUGUGAUUUGCACUCUUGUAUAUUUUGGUCAUAUUGUCAGCUAGAAAGUCAAAAGUUUCUUUCAGCUAGAAUGUCAAAAUUAAGUUCUUUGAAGACUUAGUGUCAUUUUUAAUCCAGUUUAAAAGUGACUUAAUUUUAAUACCACUACCAGGAAUUUGAAAAUUUCUUCUUUAAUCAUAUUAAAUACAACUAAAAGAACAACACUAAUUAAUAUUGCUUGGGCUUUUUCUCCCUUUGUUUAAAAUGUCAUUUGUUGAGUAAGAGUUGUAUAGUAUUAUCUACUUACUUGAGGCUGUUUUUUCAUUACAGUGUUUUGUACAUAUAUCCAUGAGACCAUAAUGCAUUGUUCUGUGCUCAAAUUGUGUUUUGUAUUUAAAGCACUAUGAAGUGUGUUUUAUAAGCAUUUAAUAUUUAUGCUCUUUAGAAUGGAACACAGAAAACUAACCUUAUAAGGCCUGAUUGUAUUAACUUGAACCAAUAACAUAUGUGGCCCACAAAGCAUAAUUCUGCUAAAUGUUUUUUAAAACAUUUUUUUC